rnacentral:tRNA from 1 species
UUAAUUGAAACCAAAGAAGAGGUAUAUCACUGUUAAUGAUAAAAUUGAAUUACAAAAUUCCAAUUAAG